ensembl:lncRNA
GGAUAAAUGAACUUUAUUCACAUCUCAUACAUAUAUUUUCAUUAUAUGCAUAUAUUCAUAUAAAAAUACAGAAUACAGUAGACUGUCACCCAGAUAUCACAUCACCUGGGCCACAAUUACUUAUUUGCUUUUGGCACCCUGACUAUCUUCCUUGACUAAGAGCCUUCUUACUGCAUGACAGUCCAAAUGUGCAGGAACAGGGAUUUUACUGCAGAUGAUGUGUGCCACAUGAGUUUCUCUUCUCGUUCCUGUGAAUCUACGAAGGACUUUACCUCUUGUCCAGACAUGAGGAUUUGUCCUGGAUGAAAUGUUCUUAUACAUAUGUGGCAGAAAUAAGUCUCAGAUUCAUGACAGCCCUCAAUAAGUCCGUGGCAUGUCACAUAUCUCAUGCUGUCCACAGGUUCGAGGUCAGAGGAUGCCAUCAUAUAAGGUUUCACAGCUUAGGCCUAUCUCCACACCAACAAAAUGAAAAUAAUAUGCAAUAACAACUGUAAAAACGUCUAUGAUGAUUAGUGUUCUGGUAAAACUAUUCUUCUUAACGUGUUACAUGUGGUUGUGUUGUUUUUUUUAUAAUUUUUUUUCCACAGUUGCAAAGAACAAUGAAACCACAUUCAUGCAUUGCUCCUGAAUGUGACUUGUUAACAUUUUUUUUGUCUGAUGAGACACACACAUACACACUCACAUACACACACACACACACACAAACACAGGCGUUAACAUCAAAACUAAGCCAAGUGAAACACAACAUGACACUUCUCAAACAACAUGCGCAUACACACUUCUAAGGUUUUUUUUCUACAACUAUAAAAAGCAGUAUUGCAAAAUUUCUAAACAUAUUUCACGUCCGAUGGGUAAAUAGUUCGCACGCAACCUUGUCGUCCUAAUUCCAUUACUGAUAUAGAAGUCAAUACGUUGAUUAGUUCUGGUGAAAGAGGGUAGUUUUAAAAAUGUAUACAAAAAGAAACAGUUUUGAGUUGCUGCCGUAAUGAAUAUAAGGCUGUAAACGUUCAAUAACGGACAGAUUUCAAUUUCAGACUUCCUGGUGUUGUUCCAGGCCGUCCUUGAGAGGAAACUUAGUUGUCAUGUAUGGGGAUCAGGAGAACAGAUUUUUACAUUUAUAAGUUAUUAUAAAAGUGGCAAAAAUGCAUUGAAGCAGCAGCUCAGGUCAUUCCCACACAGAUCAUUACAACCAAUGAGAGAACGCAGGAUCAUUCUGGGUAUGAAGAAAAAUAUAACAAAUCACAGAGCUGCAUCUGAAAUGUGUUAAAGUGUAGUAUGUUGUCGAUAGCUGUUACAAAAUCAAUAUGUACAGAUUAGUUCUGAGGAUGAGAAUAAGAACAGAAAAGAGCAUGCACAUUUCUGGCAUUCAUGAACAGACAACAGCAUGCUGGAGAUGAGUCAUACUGAGCCUGAAGCUAGGAGCAAACUUGAGAGGAGCAAACUGAAACACUGUUUGGUAACACUUGACUUCAAGGGUUUACAUAACUAACAUUAUUUACAGGCUUUAUAAGCCAGAAGCAAUAUUUAUGGUUAAUAUUCAUCUGAAGGUGGCUCAUUUUCAAGAAUAAUUCAAAUCGCAGGUUUAUAAUGAAUUCAUUCUAAUAAUUAUUGUUUCCAAAGUAACAACUCAAUCACAGGCGGACGCACUACGUAAUCUAGGGCGAACGAAUUACGAAAACGUCUUGCUGUUCAACAAAGAACAGUGUGUCAUCGCCGACAUGAUGAAGUUACAUUAAUGUAAGCUUUACGGAAGGAGUCUCCAGUGUCGGCGCUCAUAUUCAGGAAGGAGGACUUUACGCUUUUUGCGGUGUCUCGGUAACAUGGUGUUUUUUGUCUUUAUGCACAGAAGACUGGCUGUUGAGUUAACAAUUCUUUGUAGACAUUCCACAAUGUUAAAUGUAGCUAUAAUUUGUUAAAAAGCUCAAAAAAUGCUAAUUAAAAAAAAAAAUCUGAAAAUUGUAAUCGUCAGCACAAAACCCCGACAUAAAACAUUUUUGGAGGUGAUGUAAAAGGAAAAUGAUUAACUUUCUGCAAUUUUGUUGAUUAUUUUUCCUGAAAGAGCAUAUCCCCCCCGAGUUUUUUUUUUAGUCCUUACUAGGGCUGCAACAAAAAAAAAACCGAUAAAAUCGACAAUAAUUGAUCAUUAAAUUAAUUGACACCAAAUUUCAUUAUGGAUUAAUUGGGUCUGUGACGUCACUUCACAAUGGUGAAAUGGUGUAAAACGCAUUUCUGCGCACAUCUGAGAAAUAGCGGAGGUCACAGAGUGAGCUGCUGCGGGAAAAGUGCACAAUCCAGAUCGUCCAAAACAUGAGAAUGUUUUAUAUUAAGCACUUCAAACAAACCCGUAAGUGUAUUAACGUGGCUUGUCGUGUCAGAUGCUGUGGCAGAUGUGUGUGCUGUUUAAUGUGUUCCAGACAUGUUUUCUUCAGAGGAGAAAUUACAUUUUUACAUUUAUAUCCUUAUCUGUAAAUGUUAGAAAUUCACGUCAGUAUUUCCAUUUGACAAAAAUGCUCGUCCUGACAGCAAGCGAGUCUCCGUUAAACCUCACUCAAACAGCGUGCAAUAGAAAGGAAGCACAAUAACUCUGACUAAAAUAUUCAUUUUGAUCAAAUAUGUUGAUCUAUAUUUAGCGAUAUUUAGAAACAAAAGUAAUGGUGUUUUUAUGAGAGCAGUAACUGUAAUGGGUUUAUAACAUGUAAUUGUAUAUAAAUGUAAGAAAUGUCAUACAUUUACAGAAUAAAGUAACAUGUUACUAUGUUCAGUUGAGUGAAUGUGUGUGUUACUGCAGAACAUCUCUUACCAGUUAGUACUUAGUUUGUGCUUUUGCUUUUCUUUUUUACCAUUUUAAUAUAGUGUAUUAACUUCUGGCUUUAAAGCUUGUGGACAUCAGUUGUUUUGUUGGUUAUCAAAAUAUAAUGUUAAUAUACAUAUAUA